rnacentral:lncRNA from 1 species
CCCGGGCCGACCGAGGCUUGCGGUCCGCUCACCAUGAAGCUGCGCGUGCGGCUUCAAAAGCGGACCCAGCCGCUCGAGGUGCCGGAGUCGGAGCCGACGCUCGGGCAGCUGCGCGCGCACCUCAUCCAGGACCUGCUGCCCACGUUGGGGUUCAGAUUCAGAGCAUUCCUCUCUCCAGAAUAAUGACCAACCUCCUUUGGCUGCCACCUCAAGCCAGGCUAACAUCCCAGAUGAACAAGGGAGUGAUUCAUCCCACGGACAGGUCACCCAAUAUGAUGCCUGGACCGAUGACAGUAUGGAAGGACCUAGUCACAGUGCUGAAGCUGUGUCAAUUCAGGACGCCAUGAGUGUGGAAGAGGCUUCUGGUUUCCAUCCACUGGAGCCAAUGCUCUGCAGUGAAACAGAGGACGGGCAGGUGCCACAUUCCCUAGAGGCCCUGUACCAGUCAGCCGGCUGCUCCACCGUCAGUGAUGCCUUGAUAGUGCUGGUGCAUCUCCUUAUGCUUGAGUCGGGCUACAUACCUCAGGGGACUGAAGCCAAAGCAGCAUCCAUGCCUGAGAAAUGGAAGUCAAGUGGCGUAUACAAGCUCCAGUACACACAUCCUCUCUGUGAGGGCGGCUCUGCCGUGCUUACCUGUGUACCUUUGGGAAAGCUCAUCAUGAUAAACGCUACAAUAAAAGUCAACGGUGGGAUUAAAAAUGUGAAGU